rnacentral:rRNA from 1 species
GAUGAACGCUGACAGAAUGCUUAACACAUGCAAGUCGACUCGAGUCUUCGGACUUGGGUGGCGCACGGGUGAGUAACGCGUAAAGAACUUGCCUCUUAGACCGGGACAACAUCUGGAAACGGAUGCUAAUACCGGAUAUUAUGGUUUUUUCGCAUGGAGGAAUCAUGAAAGCUGGAUGCGCUAAGAGAGAGCUUUGCGUCCCAUUAGCUAGUUGGUGAGGUAACGGCCCACCAAGGCAAUGAUGGGUAGCCGGCCUGAGAGGGUGAACGGCCACAAGGGGACUGAGACACGGCCCUUACUCCUACGGGAGGCAGCAGUGGGGAAUAUUGGACAAUGGACCGCAAGUCUGAUCCAGCAAUUCUGUGUGCACGAUGACGUUUUUCGGAAUGUAAAGUGCUUUCAGUCGGGAAGAAGUCAGUGACGGUACCGACAGAAGAAGCGACGGCUAAAUACGUGCCAGCAGCCGCGGUAAUACGUAUGUCGCAAGCGUUAUCCGGAUUUAUUGGGCGUAAAGCGCGUCUAGGCGGCAAGGAAAGUCUGAUGUGAAAAUGCGGAGCUCAACUCCGUAUGGCGUUGGAAACUGCCUUACUAGAGUACUGGAGAGGUAGGCGGAACUACAAGUGUAGAGGUGAAAUUCGUAGAUAUUUGUAGGAAUGCCGAUGGGGAAGCCAGCCUACUGGACAGAUACUGACGCUAAAGCGCGAAAGCGUGGGGUAGCAAACAGG